GACGAACGCUGGCGGCGUGCUUAACACAUGCAAGUCGAACGGAAAGGCCCUGCUUUUGUGGGGUGCUCGAGUGGCGAACGGGUGAGUAACACGUGAGUAACCUGCCCUUGACUUUGGGAUAACUUCAGGAAACUGGGGCUAAUACCGGUUAGGAGCUCCUGCUGCAUGGUGGGGGUUGGAAAGUUUCGGCGGUUGGGGAUGGACUCGCGGCUUAUCAGCUUGUUGGUGGGGUAGUGGCUUACCAAGGCUUUGACGGGUAGCCGGCCUGAGAGGGUGACCGGCCACAUUGGGACUGAGAUACGGCCCAGACUCCUACGGGAGGCAGCAGUGGGGAAUAUUGCACAAUGGGCGGAAGCCUGAUGCAGCAACGCCGCGUGCGGGAUGACGGCCUUCGGGUUGUAAACCGCUUGCGCCUGUGACGAAGCGUGAGUGACGGUAAUGGGUAAAGAAGCACCGGCUAACUACGUG
rnacentral:rRNA from 1 species